CCCUUAGAUGUUCUGGGCCGCACGCGCGCUACAAUGGUCUUCGCAAACGGAUGCAUUCUCGAAGGAGAAUGCCAAUCUUGGAAUCUAUGCCUUGGUCGGGACAGUUGCUUGCAAUUUUUCGACUCGAACCAGGAAUUCCUUGUAAUCGUGAUUCAUCACAUCACGAUGAAUACGUCCCUGCCCUUUGUACACACCGCCCGUCGCUCCUACCGAUCGAAGAGUUAGGUGAAUUGUUUUGAUCGAUAAGAUUUGACUAUGGUCAACUCUCGUUGUGAAAUUCAGUGAAUCUGACUGUUUAGAGGAAGGAAAAGUCGUAACA
rnacentral:rRNA from 1 species